GCAGGGAUAGCUCAGUUGGGAGAGCAUCAGACUGAAGAUUUGAAGGUUGCAUGAUCAAUCCACACUCACCGCA
rnacentral:tRNA from 1 species